rnacentral:rRNA from 1 species
GAUGAACGCUGGCGGCGUGCCUAAUACAUGCAAGUCGAGCGAACGGACGAGAAGCUUGCUUCUCUGAUGUUAGCGGCGGACGGGUGAGUAACACGUGGAUAACCUACCUAUAAGACUGGGAUAACUUCGGGAAACCGUAGCUAAUACCGGAUAAUAUUUUGAACCGCAUGGUUCAAAAGUGAAAGACGGUCUUGCUGUCACUUAUAGAUGGAUCCGCGCUGCAUUAGCUAGUUGGUAAGGUAACGGCUUACCAAGGCAACGAUGCAUAGCCGACCUGAGAGGGUGAUCGGCCACACUGGAACUGAGACACGGUCCAGACUCCUACGGGAGGCAGCAGUAGGGAAUCUGCCGCAAUGGGCGAAAGCCUGACGGAGCAACGCCGCGUGAGUGAUGAAGGUCUUCGGAUCGUAAAACUCUGUUAUUAGGGAAGAACAUAUGUGUAAGUAACUGUGCACAUCUUGACGGUACCGAAUCAGAAAGCCACGGCUAACUACGU